CUUCAUGGUACUGAUUUGUUUGGCUCUGUGGUCACGUGUUCCCAGAGAUCUGAUUGAACUUGGGUUCGAUAGGGCGUAUAUUUUAUAAACCCGUACCGGUAGUUUGAGUCGUUGGUCUGUACAGACAAAGGCGAGCUGCAGAGAGACCAGGUUUUGACGAGUUCUCACCGUUAUUGGAGAGUGGUAUUGACGAUACAAAGGAGCGAAAACCACAAUGAAGUCUUUAUUCUUGCUGAUCAUUUUCCUAAGUGUUUGCACCCACAUCGCCUUUGGUGCGGUCAAGUGCUACAUAUGCACCCCUUCACAAGACGGUUGUACGGGCACCAAGGAAAAGCCGUUCGACGGAGCCGCUCACGCUGACUGGCUGAAGUCAUGUACCAGCGGACAAACCUGCUUGAAAACCUUCGACAACAAUAACCAGGUGACACGAGCUUGUAAUAAUAAGGACAAAUGUAGGGACGGCGCCACUCAAAGUUACUAUCAAGUUGUUUUAACAACGUCUGCACCACCGAAUAUUGCUGUACUGGCGAGGGUUGUAAUGCUGCCCCUAUGUCUACGGACAUCAACAUCCUGCUCAUCUUUGUCACGGCACUGCUCACUUGGGCGUUCGGCAAAUAAACGACAAAUUUCGCCAGCUUCUUUUCCUUUCAGUGAAAAGUUAACAUUGCAAUUCACUAACCGCACUGCAUUCCCAGUCCACUAAUUAUUUUCAAUGUAAAUGCUAAUUUCCCACUCACAAAAACGGGAAACAAAAAUGUCUUGUUUUUCGUGGUGAAAUGAUUGAUUUGAAAACAAGGACGUUUAUUAUUUACAAAACAUUUUUUGUCGCCUGCUACACUUACGUUUGUUAUGUAUGUUUGUUACAAACACAACAUUUAGCUAUUACCAAGAUGCUUAAACUCCAAAGAAAGUUGAUACGUGCUUGAAUCAAGAAGCCUGAUAAUAACCCUGUGAAGGUUGCAUGUCAGGAGGACAUUUUGCAAAAAUAUACACACUCAGGUAAACGCGGAGUAGCUUUUAAAUUAUGAUCAAACGAAUGCAAGAAGUAUUUAGGGAAGCCCAUGUGGAGCAGUUUCAUCAAAGAAAACGUUAGCAUUCUGUAUAAAAUUAUUUCCUGACAUUUCCACAAGAAGAUAGCAUUCAAAUUACCAUGUAAUUCCUUUGCCUGUAUCGUUGAACAUAAAUAAAUUAUUACUUUGUUAAAGUCGAACUGGCAGCCGUUAUGUUUUGUCAGAAUGAAGACUUCUGGUCAUAAAAAAAUAUAUUGGACUUCAACCAUUCAUUAAUUUCAUAGCAAGUAGCGAAGGACGGAUCAAGUGGAUUUGGCAGAGCAGUUUUUGUAAGCGGGAAGCAAAAAAUUGAGAAUUUCUAUGUUACUGGGGGGUCUGUUCUGAGUUGUAAUGCCGUAUAUUUGGGACUUUUCGCAUACUUUGUAAGAAAAGGAAUUAUAAUUUUAAUGCAAAAUCUUAAAUUACAUUCAGCUUCAUUGUAAAGAUAUCGCAGGCAGUUCCCAUCGGUUUUAACACGUUGACCAACUGAAUAUUUUUUUAAUGUUUUGUUUCGUGACAUGAAAAAAAUAGAAUAAUAAUUUCAUUGGAAAAAACGAGGAAGUGGAUGAAAAAGUACCCAUUUGCUUGAAAGCAUCUUGGAAUUACCCCUUUCCCACUUCCACUGUGAAUGGUUUGUUCAUCUGUUGCUGAUGAGUGCCCCCACCUUUCCAUCCAAGGGAAAAGUCAAAGCAACGGCCACGCCUCCUUCCUCUUCCCCCUCCAAAAAUUAGUCGUCACUGUGUACCAUAACGUACAAUAACUGAGAAGACGCGAAGUCGUGUAUAUGGGCAUGCACUCAUUCAAAUUACCCCGAACAAUUUUUAGAAAAACGAUGAUUUUUUUAGAGUGAAGACAAUAACUGUAAAUGUCAGGGUUAUUAUUAUUCGGGUGCAUCGGAUCAAGCAGUUAUGUGUUUUGUGGUGCAAAGGUUGCAGGUCGAUAAUUAGCCCGUUACAAUCUCCCCCCAAAGUCCUACAAAUAGGUUUUUAACGCUGAAAGUAGACGGGCACUGUACGUGCGAUGAGAAUUGUCAAGAGAGGUGAUAUGACGGUUUUGUUUGUUUGUUUGGAAUAAAACUUUGUGCUCAUUAG